rnacentral:tRNA from 1 species
GUGUUAAUAGGUUAAUUAAAGACUAGAAGAUUCAUGUUCUUCAGGUGUUUUYUUAGCAUC